UAUGACAUUUCUUCAGAUAGGUGUGGUUC
rnacentral:piRNA from 1 species